AGAGUUUGAUCAUGGCUCAGAUUGAACGCUGGCGGCAGGCCUAACACAUGCAAGUCGAGCGGUAGCACAGAGAGCUUGCUCUCGGGUGACGAGCGGCGGACGGGUGAGUAAUGUCUGGGAAACUGCCUGAUGGAGGGGGAUAACUACUGGAAACGGUAGCUAAUACCGCAUAACGUCGCAAGACCAAAGUGGGGGACCUUCGGGCCUCAUGCCAUCAGAUGUGCCCAGAUGGGAUUAGCUAGUAGGUGGGGUAACGGCUCACCUAGGCGACGAUCCCUAGCUGGUCUGAGAGGAUGACCAGCCACACUGGAACUGAGACACGGUCCAGACUCCUACGGGAGGCAGCAGUGGGGAAUAUUGCACAAUGGGCGCAAGCCUGAUGCAGCCAUGCCGCGUGUGUGAAGAAGGCCUUCGGGUUGUAAAGCACUUUCAGCGGGGAGGAAGGCGUUAAGGUUAAUAACCUUGGCGAUUGACGUUACCCGCAGAAGAAGCACCGGCUAACUCCGUGCCAGCAGCCGCGGUAAUACGGAGGGUGCAAGCGUUAAUCGGAAUUACUGGGCGUAAAGCGCACGCAGGCGGUCUGUCAAGUCGGAUGUGAAAUCCCCGGGCUCAACCUGGGAACUGCAUUCGAAACUGGCAGGCUAGAGUCUUGUAGAGGGGGGUAGAAUUCCAGGUGUAGCGGUGAAAUGCGUAGAGAUCUGGAGGAAUACCGGUGGCGAAGGCGGCCCCCUGGACAAAGACUGACGCUCAGGUGCGAAAGCGUGGGGAGCAAACAGGAUUAGAUACCCUGGUAGUCCACGCCGUAAACGAUGUCGAUUUGGAGGUUGUGCCCUUGAGGCGUGGCUUCCGGAGCUAACGCGUUAAAUCGACCGCCUGGGGAGUACGGCCGCAAGGUUAAAACUCAAAUGAAUUGACGGGGGCCCGCACAAGCGGUGGAGCAUGUGGUUUAAUUCGAUGCAACGCGAAGAACCUUACCUGGUCUUGACAUCCACAGAACUUUCCAGAGAUGGAUUGGUGCCUUCGGGAACUGUGAGACAGGUGCUGCAUGGCUGUCGUCAGCUCGUGUUGUGAAAUGUUGGGUUAAGUCCCGCAACGAGCGCAACCCUUAUCCUUUGUUGCCAGCGGUUCGGCCGGGAACUCAAAGGAGACUGCCAGUGAUAAACUGGAGGAAGGUGGGGAUGACGUCAAGUCAUCAUGGCCCUUACGACCAGGGCUACACACGUGCUACAAUGGCAUAUACAAAGAGAAGCGACCUCGCGAGAGCAAGCGGACCUCAUAAAGUAUGUCGUAGUCCGGAUUGGAGUCUGCAACUCGACUCCAUGAAGUCGGAAUCGCUAGUAAUCGUAGAUCAGAAUGCUACGGUGAAUACGUUCCCGGGCCUUGUACACACCGCCCGUCACACCAUGGGAGUGGGUUGCAAAAGAAGUAGGUAGCUUAACCUUCGGGAGGGCGCUUACCACUUUGUGAUUCAUGACUGGGGUGAAGUCGUAACAAGGUAACCGUAGGGGAACCUGCGGUUGGAUCACCU
rnacentral:rRNA from 95 species